rnacentral:lncRNA from 1 species
UUCCAUAAGAUCUCUCCUUCUGAGAUUUUCUUUCUCCCCCUCAAUUGAUCAUUCCAUUUAAGAGUUUAGAAUUUGAAGAUAAUGUUCAAUAAAAUUGUCAAUCUCAAAAAAAAAUAUUUUCUAUAAGUUUCAGCUUAUUUCCAUAAGACUCAAUGUUUGAGAUAAGACAACCUUUAUAGAACUCAUCUCAAGGUAUAAACUUAUUAUAUAAUUAAAGCAAGUCUUGCAAUAUAAGGAGGUUCAUCAAAAUCAAUCCAUAAUUAAAGUAACUUUAGGAUAAGAUACUGAAUAUCUAAAGCUCCCCCUCAAAAGAUGCAUUCUUCUUUAAUCAUUCUUUUCUAUUGUUGAAUUUCAGAUUUUAAUGAUAAAUGUGAAUAAAAUUGAAAUUCUAUGAUAUCGAGAAUGUAGAGUAAUCUAGCAUUAUUCAAAAUUUGUAGCAAUUACUCUUUCUAAUCCUUCAAGAACAAGUUAUGCUUUCUCUUAAUCUUAGAGAAAAUGUAUAGAAAU